CAGUAGCCACGGGAAUACAGAGGGUGCGAGCGUUAAUCGGAUUUACUGGGCGUAAAGCGUGCGUAGGCGGCUAAUUGAGUCGGAUGUGAAAUCCCCGAGCUUAACUUGGGAAUUGCAUUCGAUACUGGUUAGCUAGAGUGUGGGAGAGGAUGGUAGAAUUCCAGGUGGAGCGGUGAAAUGCGUUGAGAUCGGAAAGAACACCAACGGCGAAAGCACUCUGCUGGGCCGACACUGACACUGAGAGACGAAAGCUAGGGGAGCAAAUGGGAUUAGAUACCCGCGUAGUCCCUGUCUCUUAUAC
rnacentral:rRNA from 1 species